AGCCUCGGUGGCCAAGUGGUAAGGCGUCGGUCUCGUAAACCGAAGAUCCUGGGUUCAAAUCCCAGUCGGGCUU
rnacentral:tRNA from 1 species